CUUUAAUGCGCAUGUACAAAAUAUUUCACUUUAAUCAGUAGGUGGCGGUAAUGCGCCUAAAAGUUUAAUGCCAACCUUAAUAAUACAGCGAAGAAGUUGUUUUUCUCGUCUGCAAUUCUGGAUUAGCGUUUUCUCGAAAGGGAUAACUUCGAUUGCGAUGCAUGUUUAGGGAUACUGGAAGGCGUAACUUACAGAAAACAGUCACCAAGUACAGUCCAGCUAAGCCAGGAAACCGGACCAGAGAAUGAAUUGAUGCCAUCUGUUUGAACCACAGUGCUCAGGAGGAAGGCUUCCUUACUUGAGGACUGCUUCAGGAUGUAGAAGGAACAGUAAGUAACAGCAAGCAUACAGCUAUAUUUUUACCCUUUACCCAUGCAGUGAAGUACAGUAGUAUGUGUACUAUUAAAUAUGACCUUAAAUGUUAAAAGAUUUUAAAAUAUUCUUCUUUGAAUAUUAAAAGAUUGUUAAUGCUUGUUUUUCGGUUGUGAAGGAUCCUCUUGAACCACAGGGCGUAAUAGUUAAAAUGUUCACACCAUUGUAAAUAUACUUGAUUACUUGACCAAGAUGUCACCUGGAGAUCCUGUGGCAGAUCAUGAUGGGAGUAGUCAAGGUUGAUGGCGAUGUGGCUGUCUUGAGGCUUGCACUCAAAUGCUAGAUGUUUAGGGACAUUGUCAGUGAGCCCAAAUUUAAAGAACAGGCUCACUUUUUGUGGCUUGACAGUAAGUUCUUUAAAUCCUUAAUGUGGAGUACUCUAAAAAUUAUUUAAGAAAACUCUUUGUCUGUCUACAUCUUUAUUCUCUGGUAGACUGUAUUGCCUUCAAAACCUUUCAACUUUCAGCUAGAAAAGUACCCUGAACUUAAAAUUGUACUAAGCAUAUCUUUGUCUAGCAUGUGUAAAGUAAUCUCAUUUAAAAUGUUUUCCUUAUAUGACUCUGUUAACAGGAUAUGUUAAUGCCGUUUGUUAUAAUAAUUGAAUAUGGUUUGAUCUGUAUUUUGUCUAAAUUAGUUCAUGAGAACUAGAUUGUGUUCUACAGACAACAGUUUUUGAUGCCCUACUGUCUGACUCAAUGCUUCCACUGUGGAGAAAUCUUCAAAGACUGUCCACCUGGCAAUGUUGGGGAAAAAAUAUUUACACAAGUUACAUAAUAAUAUACGAGCAUAUAUUUGACAUGACUUUAAUUCUCCUAUUCAUUAAAAUUUGUAAGUAUACAAGUACUGUAUAGGUUUUGUCUUUAUUUCACUUGAUAGUACUUGAUGCUAGUAUUGCAUCCCUAAGUUGAUGUUUCGAAUUAAAGUGCAGUUCACCCCACAGAUCUUUCAUAUUAUGAUGCUAAACAGGCUCUUUAAUAAGACUUAGGUCAGAUGAUGAUGGGGGUCACACAUUGUUUGAUUUCUUUCUUGUUUUAAUAAUUAAAAUAGUCAGUGAUGCUUUUUGCAGUAUGGGAUGGUAUAUUAUCCUCCAUGAAAGUAAAUUUAUUUCAGAAGACAUAAUUCCUUCUAUCUCAUAGUAAAAAAACCUAUGUUUUAGGAACUCUACAUAUCUUCUAGAUGUCCAUUUGACCCUCCCCCCCAAUGUCUUGUUUGAACAUAGUGGCUAUUC